rnacentral:rRNA from 1 species
GUAGUCUCGCACAGAUGCAUAUCAAUAAGCGGAGGAAAAGAAACUAACAAGGAUUCCCCUAGUAACGGCGAGUGAAGCUGGGAAGAGCUCAAAUUUGAAAUCUUAAAGGGUUUCCCUUUACGAAUUGUAGUUUAAAGAAGUGUUUUCUGUUGAGGUUUUGGUAAAAGUUCUUUGGAAUAGGACAUCAUAGAGGGUGAGAAUCCCGUAUUUGACCUUUACUUUCAACUUUGUGAUAGCACUUUCAAAGAGUCGGAUUGUUUGGGAAUGCAGUCCAAAAUGGGUGGUAAAUUUCAUCUAAAGCUAAAUAUUGGCGAGAGACCGAUAGCGAACAAGUACCGUGAGGGAAAGAUGAAAAGAACUUUGAAAAGAGAGUUAAACAGUACGUGAAAUUGUCAAAAGGGAAGCGUUUGACACCAGUGUUGUUUUUCUGAAAAUCAAUUAAAGAACUGUUUAUGCUAAGCUGUUUAGACUUUAUCAGCUAACUGUUUAGUUUUGAGCUUUUCUUUAAUGCACUUUUCAGUUAACAAGUCAACAUCAAUUUCUUUUGCUGUAAAAAAGCUUGAGGAAGGUGGCUUGAGAUUCGUCUUAAGUGUUUAUAGCCUCUUGCCUAUGCAGUCGGAGAGAUUGAGGUCUGCAGCGUAGAUCCUUCGGGGCUAAAUGCAUUUGUGCUAAGUUAUAGCAUUUUAUAGACAACUUGUUGACUAUGAUUUGUCUUGUAGCUUACUCGCUUAUGUUAUUUUACCUACGCUUAGGAUGUUGAAGACUCUACAGAGAUA